UGGGGAAUUUUGGACAAUGGGCGAAAGCCUGAUCCAGCAAUGCCGCGUGUGUGAAGAAGGCCUUCGGGUUGUAAAGCACUUUUGUCCGGAAAGAAAUCCUCUGGGUUAAUACCUCGGGGGGAUGACGGUACCGGAAGAAUAAGCACCGGCUAACUACGUGCCAGCAGCCGCGGUAAUACGUAGGGUGCAAGCGUUAAUCGGAAUUACUGGGCGUAAAGCGUGCGCAGGCGGUUUUGUAAGACGGAUGUGAAAUCCCCGGGCUUAACCUGGGAACUGCAUUCGUGACUGCAAGGCUAGAGUAUGGCAGAGGGGGGUAGAAUUCCACGUGUAGCAGUGAAAUGCGUAGAGAUGUGGAGGAAUACCGAUGGCGAAGGCAGCCCCCUGGGCCAAUACUGACGCUCAUGCACGAAAGCGUGGGGAGCAAACAGGAUUAGAUACCCUGGUAGUCCACGCCCUAAACGAUGUCAACUAGUUGUUGGGGAUUCAUUUCCUUAGUAACGUAGCUAACGCGUGAAGUUGACCGCCUGGGGGAGUACGGUCGCAAGAUUAAAACUCAAAGGAAUUGACGGGGUCAUAGCUGUUUCCU
rnacentral:rRNA from 1 species